GGCGAAACAAGCGAAAAUGUUUGGUGAAAUGGCCGCCUCGUCUACACAACUCUUAACCUGCAAAAGUUACAUCAGAACCAGAGAUGCAGGCAGUGAAGAAAGCGAAUGGUAUGUUAGCUUUCAUAGCAAAAGGAUUUGAGUAUAGGAGCAGGGAGGUUCUACUGCAGUUGUACAGGGUCUUGGUGAGACCACAUCUGGAGUAUCGCGUACAGUUUUGGUCUCCAAAUCUGAGGAAGGAGAUUAUUGCCAUAGAGGGAGUGCAGAGAAGGUUCACCACACUGAUUCCUGGGAUGACAGGACUGUCUUAUGAAGAAAGACUGGAUAGACUUGGUUUAUACGCUCUAGAAUUUAGGAGAUGGAGAGGGGAUCUUAUAGAAACUUACAACAUUCUUAAGGGGUUGGACAGGCUAGAUGCAGGAAGAUUGUUCCCGAUGUUGGGGAAGUCCAGGACAAGGGGUCACAGCUUAAGGAUAAGGGGGAAAUCCUUUAAAACCGAGAUGAGAAGAACUUUUUUCACACAGACAGUGGUGAAUAUCUGGAACUCUCUGCCACAGAGGGUAGUCGAGGCCAGUUCAUUGGCUAUAUUUAAGAGGGAGUUAGAUGUGGCCCUUGUGGUUAAGGGGAUCAGAGGGUAUGGAGAGAAGGCAGGUACGGGAUACCGAGUUGGAUGAUCAGCCAUGAUCAUAUUGAAUGGCGGUGCAGGCUCGAAGGGCCUAAUGGCCUACUCCUGCACCUAAUUUCUAUGUUUCUAUGUUUCAUUAAAGUGUCACACAGAAUCAAACAAUGUGAAAGGACCUAAGUAAAAGGAUUGAUGCUACGCAGCAUCUUGUUUACUGCUCAGGAUGUUUCCAGGAAUGGAAUAAUGGAGUGGAAUUAUGCUAAAAUAGAUCAUCAUUGCUUUAUUGUUUAGAUAUGUUAGUGAUGACACUGCUGUGUAAGGAACUUAGCAUGAGUCGCUGCCCUCUCCACUACUACACUGGGAACCUGAAUGAGGGCCUCAGCCCUUUCCUGGCUCUCCACAGCAAGGAAGUGGCUAAAGUGACAUAUGGUUCGGUCUGGAAUAAGCCAUGUUUGUCUGUAAGGGUUGGUAGUGGGUGAAAUGGAGAACUCAAGUAUCUUGUUAAGUUCCUGUUGUUCCCAGCCAAAUUAACUCAUUGUUGAAAAGAUAAGUAUUAAUUCCCAAUUUUGGUACCACUGAUGAAGCCGAAUUUUUAGUUAAAAAUAUAAGAAGAUAUUAAAUUGGCUGCUGGGCUAGCUUACAGCUUAUAUUUAGUGUCAAAUUAGGUUUGCCUUAGGUUGCGGUGUGUGUGAGAUAAUAAAUCCUAUAACAUUGUCUCCCAAGUGAGGAAGUGACAGAGAGGAAGAGAGACAUAGCUAGUCACAUCUUUGUAAACAAAUGGCCUAAGUUUUUGAGGGACCAAGUGACAGAGAGGAAGCAGCAAAAAGAGCUAGGGUGAUCUCUUUGGAGAUAAAAUAACCUAAAGCAAAUGGCCAAUGUAUUUAGUAUAUCUCAAACAAGGGGACAUGACAUGAGAAUUAAGGGACUGAAGUUUAGGGGGUAACAUGAGGGGGAACUUCUUUACUCAGAGAGUGGUAGCUGUGUGGAAUGAGCUUCCAGUGAAGGUGGUGGAGGCAGGUUCGUUUUUAUCAUUUAUAAAUAAAUUGGAUAGUUAUAUGGAUGGGAAGGGAAUGGAGGGUUAUGGUCUGAGCGCAGGUAUAUGGGACUAGGGGAGAUUAUGUGUUCGGCACGGACUAGAAGGGUCGAGAUGGCCUGUUUCCGUGCUGUAAUUGUUAUAUGGUUAUAUGGUUAUAUCUUGUACCAUGUAAACAAAAGGCCUUUGAUGUGAUGCAUUCUGUGGAAACCUUUUCCUGUACCUCUGACCAUGACUAAUGUCUGUGGAAUGUGCUAAGGGGACAAAAAAACCCUAUUUAAGGCAAUGUAAUUCUGUUGUUCAGAGAAGGUGGCUGAGCACAGUUAAGUGUCUACAUUGGUCACUUAGCUGGAAUUCUCGCUCCCUUCCAUCGGCCGAUGUUAAGUAAAGUUUUGAACUGGUCUACCAAACAGUUUGUGUGGUGUCUGUUUAUUAAGAAGCGAACCUGGUUUAGUAGUUAUAAAAGUAACUUUUUCACCACACCUGUUGAUCAUGUUUGUAUCCUCUCCAAUGCUUCCAUAUAAAGUCAUAUUUCUUUCCACAUAUGAAGCAGAAUCAAAACUCAGUAACUUUGAAAUUGUAAUUCCGCCUCUCCAGAAAUAAAUACUAACCUAUGUUGAGGACUAACUUCUUGACAACUAUGAUUAGGAGUGUAAGAUCCAGAGGCACUAUAAGAUAUUUGUGAUUGCAAAUGGCUGGAAUUGUUAAGUUUGUCUGGGUUAGGGGGUAUUAGCGACAGGAGAGGUUAUUCAGAAUUAAGAUUGUUUUCUCUCAAACGUCAGAGGUUUGCACUGAGACCUGAUAGAAGUAUAUAAAAUGAGUGGCAUAGAUCAGAUACAGUCAGAAUCUUUUUAAUCUGCAGAAUGGAAACAUCAAAUACUAGAGGGCAUAGCUUUAAGGUGUGGGCUGCAAAGUUUGAAUGUGAUGUGGAGGACAAUCUUUAGAGAUCUAUUUUUAUUUUAUUUUUUACACAGAGGGUGUUGAGUGCCUAAAAUGCACUGCCAAGGUUGGGGAUGAGAUAGAAACGAUAGUGGCAUUUAAGUGGCUCUUUGAUAGCACAUGAAUGUGCAGGGAAUGUAGGCACAGGUAAGCAAGAGAUGGUCUUGACAUCAUGUUUAACACAGACACUGUGGCCCAAAGGGUCUGUUCUUGUGCUGUACAGUUCUAUAAACAUGCUUACAGCAUGCAACAAUCAGACUACAAGAACAUGGAUUUGUUCUUUAACAAUAUUCAGUUUCAGCUUGAUUAAUAAAAGCUGGUUCUUCUCCGUGAUCAAUGGCAGUCGUUAUUUAGACCAACGUCAUUGAAAAUCUCCCUGGUGAUGAAACAGAAACAUAGAAAAUAGGUGCAGGAGGAGGCCAUUCGGCCCUUCGAGCCAGCACCGCCAUUCAUUGUGAUCAUGGCUGAUCGUCCCCUAUCAAUAACCCGUGCCUGCCUUCUCCACUAGCCCCUAGAGCUCUAUCUAACUAUCUCUUCAAUCCUUCCAGUGACUUGGCCACCACUGCCUUCAGUGGCAGGGAAUUCCAUUAAUUCACAACUCUCUGGGUGAAAAAGUUUUUUCUCACCUCAGUCUUAAAUGACCUCCCCUUUAUUCUAAGAUUGUGGCCCCUGGUUCUGGACUCGCCCAACAUUGGGAACAUUUUUCCUGCAUCUAGCUUGUCCAGUCCUUUUAUAAGUUUAUAUGUUUCAAUAAGAUCCCCCCUUAUCCUUCUAAACUCCAGUGAAUACAAGCCUAGUCUUUUCAAUCUUUCCUCAUACGACAGUCCCGCCAUGCCAGGGCUCAAUCUCGUGAACCUACGGUGCACUGCCUCAAUCACAAGGAUGUCCUUCCUCAAAUUAGGAGACCAAAACUGCACACAAUACUCUAGAUGUGGUCUCACCAGAGCCCUAUACAACUGCAGAAGAACCUAUUUACUCCUAUACUGAAAUCCUCUUGUUAUGAAGGUCAACAUUCCAUUAGCUUUCUUCACUGCCUGCUGUACCUGCACGCCAAGUUUCAGUGACCGUUGUACAAGGACGCCCAGGUCUCGCUGUACCUCCCCCUUACCCAACCUAAUCCCAGUGAGAUAAUAAUCUGCCCCCUUGUUUUUGCCACCAAAUUGAAUAACCUCACAUUUAUCUAUAUUAUACUGCAUCUGCCACGCAUCUGCCCACUCAACUUGUCCAGGUCACCAUGCAACCUCCUAACAUCCUCUUCACAGUUCACACUGUCACCCAGCUUUGUGUCAUCCGCAAACUUGCUAGAGUUGCUCCUAAUUCCCUCUUCCAAAUCAUUAAUAUGGUAAACAGUUGCGGCCCCAGCACUGAGCCUUGCGGCACUCCACUCGCCAUUAGCUAUCCUCCAAUCCACAGGAACUGAUCCUGAAUCUAUUGUACAUUGGAAAAUGAUCACCAAUGCGUCCACUAUUUCUAGAGCCACCUCCCCAAGGACCCUGGGAUGCAGACCAUCAGGCCCAGGGGAUUUAUCAUCCUUCAGUCCCAUUAGCCUACCCAAUACUAUUUCUCGCCUAAUGAAAAUGUCUUUCAGUUCCUCUGCCCCCUUCGAUCCUCUGUCCUCCAGUACAUCUGGGAGAUUGUUUGUGUCUUCCUUAGUGAAGACCGAUCCAAAGUACCUGUUCAACUCUUCUGCCAUUUCCUUGUUGCCCAUAAUAAUUUCACCCGUGUCUGCCUUCAAGGGACCCACAUUUGACUUUGCUACUCUUUUUCCCUUAACAUAUCUAAAGAAGCUUUUACUGUCCUUCUUUAUAUUCCUAGCCACCUUGUUUCCUUCUGUUGUAUGAAGGUUUCCCAAUCCUCUGGCUUCCGGCUACUCUUUGCUGUGUUAUACAUCUUUUCUUUUAGUUUUAUUCUAUCCGUAACUUCUCUUGUCAGCCACGGUUGCCUCCUACUCCCCUUAGAAUCUUUCUUCCUUUUUGGAAUGAAAUUAUCCUGCGUCUUCCAGAUUAUGCCCAGAAAUUCCUGCCGUUGUUGUUCCACCGUCAUUC